rnacentral:rRNA from 1 species
UACGGAGGGUGCAAGCGUUAUCCGGAUUCACUGGGUUUAAAGGGUGCGUAGGUGGAUUGGUAAGUCAGUGGUGAAAUCUCCGGGCUUAACCCGGAAACUGCCAUUGAUACUAUCAGUCUUGAAUACCGUGGAGGUCAGUAGAAUAUGUCAUGUAGUGGUGAAAUGCUUAGAUAUGACAUAGAAUACCAAUUGCGAAGGCAGCUGGCUACACGAAUAUUGACACUCAGGCACGAAAGCGUGGGGAUCAAACAGG